AAAACAGAAACUGGCAGCAAAAUCACAAAAUCUGAAAUGAUACAAAACCAGUUUAGCAUGUAAACAAGAAAACACACUAUUUGCAAACAACAAAAAGACAUUCUAUAGAAACAUAAACACUAAAGACCCUAGACAUGCACAAAACAGAGAAAUACCAACACAACAAUCACUCACUAGUUUCUGAUCUGCCCUAUGAGCAGUGCUAGUUACACACAACCAGAGAGCCAGAUGGAUUGCAGAAGAGGUGACAUGCACAUUAAACAUAUCAGAAAUGCCCUAUACCACCACCACUACAGAAGAACUCCCAAAAACAAUAAGACGUACAUACAACUGGAAAGCUCCUGGUGUAGAUGGCAUUCAGAAUAUCUGUUACCAACAUUUUACCUGUCUUCAUGACUCACU
rnacentral:lncRNA from 1 species